rnacentral:rRNA from 1 species
UGGCGAACGGGUGAGUAACGCGUGAGUAACCUGCCCUAGAGUGGGGGGACAACAGUUGGAAACGACUGCUAAUACCGCAUAAGCCCACGGUACCGCAUGGCACUGAGGGAAAAGGAUUUAUUCGCUUUAGGAUGGACUCGCGUCCAAUUAGCUAGUUGGUGAGGUAACGGCCCACCAAGGCGACGAUUGGUAGCCGGACUGAGAGGUUGAACGGCCACAUUGGGACUGAGACACGGCCCAG